rnacentral:rRNA from 1 species
UACAGAGGUCCCAAGCGUUGUUCGGAUUCACUGGGCUUAAAGGGCGCGUAGGCGGACCGGAUAGUCUGUGGUGAAAGCCCCCAGCUUAACUGGGGAAGUGCCAUGGAUACUGCCGGUCUGGAGGAGGGUAGGGGCAUCUGGAACGCUGGGUGGAGCGGUGAAAUGCGUUGAUAUCCAGCGGAACUCCGGUGGCGAAGGCGAGGUGCUGGACCCUUUCUGACGCUGAUGCGCGAAAGCCAGGGGAGCAAACGGG